GACGAACGCUGGCGGCGUGCUUAACACAUGCAAGUCGAACGAUGAACCCGGAGCUUGCUCCGGUGGAUUAGUGGCGAACGGGUGAGUAACACGUGAGUAACCUGCCCUUGACUCUGGGAUAACUGCGGGAAACUGUAGCUAAUAACGGAUACGACCCACGGAGGCAUCGACAGGGGGAGGAAAGAAUUUCGAGCAAGGAUGGACUCUCGGCCUAUCAGCUAGUUGGUGAGGUAACGGCUCACCAAGGCGACGACGGGUAGCCGGCCUGAGAGGGUGACCGGCCACACUGGGACUGAGACACGGCCCAGACUCCUACGGGAGGCAGCAGUGGGGAAUAUUGCACAAUGGGCUCAAGCCUGAUGCAGCAACGCCGCGUGAGGGAUGACGGCCUUCGGGUUGUAAACCUCUUUUAGUAGGGAAGAAGCGAAAGUGACGGUACCUGCAGAAAAGGCACCGGCUAACUACGUGCCAGCCGCCGCAGUAA
rnacentral:rRNA from 1 species